rnacentral:rRNA from 1 species
UACAGAGGUCUCAAGCGUUGUUCGGAUUCAUUGGGCGUAAAGGGUGCGUAGGUGGCGCUGUAAGUCGGGUGUGAAAUUUCGGAGCUUAACUCCGAAACUGCAUUCGAUACUGCUGUGCUUGAGGACUGGAGAGGAGACUGGAAUUUACGGUGUAGCAGUGAAAUGCGUAGAGAUCGUAAGGAAGACCAGUGGCGAAGGCGGGUCUCUGGACAGUUCCUGACACUGAGGCACGAAGGCCAGGGGAGCAAACGGG